rnacentral:lncRNA from 10 species
CUCUUGACAUCACAACAGUUUAAUAUUUUAACUUAUUCAUUAAAUUGUGCUUCACAUCAAUGGAAAUCUUCAGUUCUACAAACUAUCAUUUUUAAAUAGCAAUAAAGGUUGAUAAUGUCACAAUACAGUCCCCUAGUAACUGAGUUCAUACAUAUUAUUGUACAGAAAUAAAAGGAAAUAUCUCUUAAGAGAAAUAAUUUACUAUCUACUGAAUAACUAUCUACAUGUAAAAUAGGUCCCCACAUAAAGAUCCAGAUUUUUCUUUCCAACACUGAAAUGAUACAUUAAAAGAGAAAUAAUGCAAUCAAAGCCCCAGAAGUACUUCUGAGAAAGAAAAAAAGGAAAGUGAAAAAAAAAUGAUCAUAUGAUUAACAAAUAAAUGUCAAGGAGGUGGAAGACACAUGUGACAAUUACUGAAGUACACAAAACUUUUGCUCCUCAAAACACUGGUUUUUCUGGCAAGAUGUCAAUCUGGCCCUUUGAUGAGUUCCCAUAAUGCAGCAGAACAUGUAGCUCACACAGGUUCCACUGAGUGUGCCAAAGGAUGACAGUUGCAAUCCUUUCCACAGACAUCUUGGAACACAGGCUCAAGAGACACCUGUCCAUCUGCGUUCUCAAUCUGGAGUACUGCUAGGUUAGCAUGAGUCCUUGCCUAGAAGUUCAAGGGCUUUUGUGUUGCAGAUGUUGCUGGUGUUUAUAGCUAGGCCAGUCCUCUGGAAAUUUCUGCACCUCUGCCAGGCAGGUUGGUUCUUUCACAUGCUGUGAAGAUGGGUUCAUGUGCAUUCCAUCAAUUCAUUAGGCUACAAAACACACAGGUUUCAGAACCUGCCCACUUGCUCAGAAGGGCUAAUUUGAAGUCUCAAGGAAUUAGUUCAGAUUUGUCCAGGUGAAUGUGGUGAGAAGAGAGCAGGCAUUGGCUUAUGUCCAGUGGAGAUGGCGGAAGGGGAGAAGAAGGAAGGCCGAAAGUGCCUUGGAGAAAGAACCCUCGCAUGCUCCUCAGAUGGCACAAAAUGGGUAGAAUCAUCAGACCCAGCCAGCCCUAAUACCCAGCCUGAAGACAUGCAGUUGCUCUGGUGACCAAUGGGGUCACAGCAACUAUGGGAAAGGAAAACCUUGGAGUCACAGCUGCGAUCAGAUCAGGGUAUUCUUGUGUAAGUCCAACCCAGCUUUCUCUUUGAUCUGAUCCUUCCAACUCAGCUUUCAGUCCCUACAACCAUUCCAAUGCUCUGGUCCUGUCUCAAGAUCCUCUUCAUUCAUUUCUUUUAAAUAGCUAAAAUAAUUAUAGUCCAUAUGUUUCCAGGCUGCCCUAGUUCUAGAGGACAGAGACUGUAUCUUAGUCAUUUUUCUAUUUUUUCAGUAUUACAUGUCAUAUAUUUAAUUCAUUACCUUUCCACCUUGGAAAGAUCUGCCUCCUUUAGGAGCCACAAUUUUCUCUAGAGUUACUCCUACUCUCCCUAACCCCCAUCUCUAAAUGAUCCCACUAUACAGGACCUCAGAUAGAGAUCAUGGUUGAUAAGGAAUCAGAUAAACUCUCUGUGUGCAGAUGUUAUCUUAGGACAACUUAAAGCAUUUCCUCUCUCCAGUGAGUAUGCAAAGGGACUCAUUUAACAGCCAAUGAAACCUUUAAGAAUGAAAGCAGUAUGUUGCUGACAAAGUACCAGGAGCCUGGGGAAGAAGACAUUAAAAAGGGAGAGUUUUCUUUCUUUUUUUUUUUUUGGUUGGUGGGGGCGGGUUUAUAUUGAUUUCCCUUAAUAGGGAGUUGUGAGCACAUUCCCUCGGCCUUCAUAUUGAAUAGGUUUUGAGUUGGAUGGAGUAGACAACCUGCUAGAAGUGUUUGAAUGCCUCCUCUGAGUUUUGGUCUCCCCUGCAGCACCGCCCAUCUCUUGGAUAUUUCAUUCCUAAUAAGAGGCCCCCUCACUGGAGGUAGGGAGCUGAGAGUAAACUUGACCAGUGUCUUUGGCAUUUUCCAUGUCAAAAAAGGUAAGGAAGGAUAUAAAUCAAUAAAGAUUUACAUUUCAUAUUCUUGCAGUUCCCAAUCCCAGUACUGAUGCUGAGCUGCAUAAAGUAGUCGGAAAGACUAUGAAGUCAAAAGGCUGGGGCUCUAAGCAACUUUCUUGCUCAUAAAUUAGAGUCGUUGGGAAAUCUUUCAACAUAUCUGACUCUCCAUCCCAAACUAGCAAGUGGUGUAAUGAAUAGAGGUCCUAUUUAGCACACAAGAAUGUAAUGAGGACCAAAUGAGACAGCACAUGCAAAAAUGUUCUGAAAACCAUUAAAUGCUACACAAAGUGAUGAAUUUUAGUCUUAUCUUUCGCAAAACAUAUGAUGAAGUAAGUGACAUUAAAAAGCACUUAAAUAUCGUUUGGUUCCCUUUUGUAUCAGAUACUGAUAGUCUUUAUCAGUAUUAAUUUCCACAUUAUUUCACAUUGUUUCUUUAAUAACAGAACCUCCUAUGCUUAUCAAGGCACAUGACAAUCAAUAAUAAAGACAUUCCCUAGCCUUCUUUGCAGCUAGAUGUGGCAAAUGUCUAGGUUUUAACCCAUGAGAUGUGACUGGAAGCAAUAUGUGCAACUUCCCUCCACUUCCUCUCUACUAUCUUAAAUGUAAAUGUGAUGGCAGGAGCUGUGGCAGCCAUCUUGGUCCAUGAGGUGGAUGCAGCACAUUAGGAUGACAGAGCAACAGGAGAGGGCCUAGGCGUCUGGUAACAUCACACACCAGAGCUGUAAAACCAGUUUGCCUUUAAGUAAGAGAGAAAUAGCUUCCAUGUUAAGUCACUAUUUUGAAUUUCUGUGUUAAAACAGCUGAAUGGGAAUUCUAUCCAAUCCAUUUAUAUUUAUUUUUUAAUGAUCUAUUCUUAUCUCCUUGCUAGGUCUAUCCUGGGGACCUUCUUGCCAAUAUUAGUACUAUCUCUACUCAGAUUUUUUUUAAAAAUUACCUUAAAGGCAUAACAAGGAGUCCUCAUACUUCAAACUUUUAAUCAAACUAAUUAUCACAAAGUUACCUCCUUUAGAUGAGAAGAAACACAUCUUUAUCAUUUUUAAUAAAAACACAUGAUAUGCCUCACUGUUGUCUAACACUGAUUGUUAAUGUUACCAAUUACUAUUAUUAGCAUUCUAAUAAUUCUCAGGGCAGUUUCCUCCAGUUUCCAAGAGUAGGCUGCCUAAAAGCUAGAAGGAGACAGAAUAGAUAAGUGUGUAUCUUAGUCCUUAAUAAAACACACACACACCACACACGUGCACAUAUACACAAAGUUGUCUCAUCCUAAUCUCCAAUCUGGGUACUGGAGCUUCCAUUGCCAAGAGAAGGGAAAGAACUGUAGGAGUCAAUAGGGUCAUAGAACCCCUGGGGAUUGUUUUUUUCUUUUUUGUCUUUUCUUGGGCUUUUGACACUGAUAUAUCUGGAGUUGAUUUGGUUUGGGAUUUAAUGCUCCUGACUUCCAUGGAUCCUUAGGCCCAGACGCCUUCUGCGGGCAUCACUUCCCUGAGCAUCACUCAGCAUGGAAGUGGGCAGUCCAUUUUUGGAGAAUAAACUGUAUCCCUACCUCUCCAUUUCUAUCAACAUAGGACCCCAUGGGUAUGACAAGCUUGCUGCUUUAGAAUGAAAUGAUAUGAGGGAGGAAGCCCAUGUCGGUCUUUUUAAUUUGCUUAGUACUGGCCUGGGGCCAACAUAAAGAGCUGGCUCCCUCUGAACAUCCUGAUACCUGGUCUCAAGUGGAGCCGCAUACAUCAUGCCUUCAGCAGAAGGCAGUGGAAGCCUUUGAUACCAAUCCCGAGGUGCCUAAGGAACAGCGUGAAGUGAGCAGGGGCUGCCUCCAAGUCUCAGUUAUGCAUGAAUUCCUUGCCAAAAUUUUAAAGUGAGUUUAAAAGAAACAAUCUGAAUGCUUUCUAACUUGUUUUGAUUUUCCACAUGACAAAACACUGGAUUGUUUGUGUGUGUGUGUGUGUGUGUGUGUGUGUGUCACAGGGGCAGGCAGAAGGAUAAUUUGCAGUCCUGCUAUUCUAGGCAGAACAUUAGAUCCUAACAAUGAGAUGAGAAGCUAGAGAGAGAGAGAGAGAGAGACGAACAUUAAUCCCAGCUGCAAUCCUCCUUCCCUUCUACCUUAGGAACAAAUCACUGGAAAUGGAGAAAUAUUUUAAUAUAUUUAAGGUAUGAAAAGGGCCUCGUUCAGUUCCUGGAGCAAGGGAGCCACCCGAUAAUGCCUUCCCUUGCACCCCAGAUGAAGCCAAGCACAGUGAGAGAAGCAUCUCCAGAUCUCUAUCUGGUGGAGCUGCUGGACUUCCCUCGGGGCAGGUAAGCACUCUGUGAAUGCUUGUGGGCUGACUGACUCACAACCCCAGAGAGAGUAUUCUGGAGGCUGAGAAGUGGCUUAGGUAAAGCUAGCUUAAACAUCAAACAUGUUGGAUAUCAAUGAAAUAGGCUUUUCAAUCUGAUUUAGGGGUUUUACACAUUUUGCCUUCAGCUCCUUGAAGGGAUUGAUCAGAUCAAUCCGUUGUGAAACUUCCCACUCACUCUGAUCCUCCUAAUAAAUGCUAGACAAAGGCUUUCUCUUCCUUCUUCCAUACAUAUUCCCUUAUUAGUCAAUAAAAUUCUUGUUAUUGUAGUUGGGAUUAUGAAAAGGUGAAAAUAAGAACUCGGCAAUGCAGCACAUUUCUUGUCCAGUUUGAGACACUCUGGCCUGAUUUACUGGCUGUGGCCACAGUCUAACAACAGGUAAAGAUCAUGUAGGAAGAAAACAGUGAACAGGCUGGAGAUAUUCAAGAUGCUGGGAGGCAGAGUCUUUCUAAACUCCUGUGAUAACCAUCCCAUGAAUGGUAUUCCAUGUCUCCUGGCCUAAUUCCGAGUUUUUAUUCAUUUAGUAACCUCAAAUAUAUUUUGUAUACAUGCUAGCUAAGUUCCUAUUCUUUGGGCCAAGCUUUUAAAAAC